rnacentral:rRNA from 1 species
CUCCCGGAUGUUAGCGGCGGACGGGUGAGUAACACGUGGGUAACCUGCCUGUAAGACUGGGAUAACUCCGGGAAACCGGAGCUAAUACCGGAUAGUUCCUUGAACCGCAUGGUUCAAGGAUGAAAGACGGUUUCGGCUGUCACUUACAGAUGGACCCGCGGCGCAUUAGCUAGUUGGUGAGGUAACGGCUCACCAAGGCGACGAUGCGUAGCCGACCUGAGAGGGUGAUCGGCCACACUGGGACUGAGACACGGCCCAGACUCCUACGGGAGGCAGCAGUAGGGAAUCUUCCGCAAUGGACGAAAGUCUGACGGAGCAACGCCGCGUGAGUGAUGAAGGUUUUCGGAUCGUAAAGCUCUGUUGUUAGGGAAGAACAAGUGCAAGAGUAACUGCUUGCACCUUGACGGUACCUAACCAGAAAGCCACGGCUAACUACGUGCCAGCAGCCGCGGUAAUACGUAGGUGGCAAGCGUUGUCCGGAAUUAUUGGGCGUAAAGGGCUCGCAGGCGGUUUCUUAAGUCUGAUGUGAAAGCCCCCGGCUCAACCGGGGAGGGUCAUUGGAAACUGGGAAACUUGAGUGCAGAAGAGGAGAGUGGAAUUCCACGUGUAGCGGUGAAAUGCGUAGAGAUGUGGAGGAACACCAGUGGCGAAGGCGACUCUCUGGUCUGUAACUGACGCUGAGGAGCGAAAGCGUGGGGAGCGAACAGGAUUAGAUACCCUGGUAGUCCACGCCGUAAACGAUGAGUGCUAAGUGUUAGGGGGUUUCCGCCCCUUAGUGCUGCAGCUAACGCAUUAAGCACUCCGCCUGGGGAGUACGGUCGCAAGACUGAAACUCAAAGGAAUUGACGGGGGCCCGCACAAGCGGUGGAGCAUGUGGUUUAAUUCGAAUCAACGCGAAGAACCUUACCAGGUCUUGACAUCCUCUGACAACCCUAGAGAUAGGGCUUUCCCUUCGGGGACAGAGUGACAGGUGGUGCAUGGUUGUCGUCAGCUCGUGUCGUGAGAUGUUGGGUUAAGUCCCGCAACGAGCGCAACCCUUGAUCUUAGUUGCCAGCAUUCAGUUGGGCACUCUAAGGUGACUGCCGGUGACAAACCGGAGGAAGGUGGGGAUGACGUCAAAUCAUCAUGCCCCUUAUGACCUGGGCUACACACGUGCUACAAUGGACAGAACAAAGGGCUGCGAGACCGCAAGGUUUAGCCAAUCCCACAAAUCUGUUCUCAGUUCGGAUCGCAGUCUGCAACUCGACUGCGUGAAGCUGGAAUCGCUAGUAAUCGCGGAUCAGCAUGCCGCGGUGAAUACGUUCCCGGGCCUUGUACACACCGCCCGUCACACCACGAGAGUUUGCAACACCCGAAGUC